CAUAGUACGUGGUCGUAGACCCGAAACCGUGUGAUCUACCCAUGUCCAGGGUGAAGACAGGGUAACACCUGUUGGAGGCCCGAACCCACGCAAGUUGAAAAUUGCGGGGAUGAGGUGUGGGUAGCGGUGAAAUGCCAAUCGAACUCGGAGAUAGCUGGUUCUCCCCGAAAUAGCUUUAGGGCUAGCCUCGAGUUAGAGUCCUGGAGGUAGAGCACUGAUUGGACUAGGGGUCCCUACAGGAUUACCGAAUUCAGUCAAACUCCGAAUGCCAGAGACUUAUUUCUCGGGAGUCAGACUGCGAGUGCUAAGAUCCGUAGUCAAGAGGGAAACAGCCCAGAUCACCAGCUAAGGUCCCCAAGUAUACGUUAAGUGGAAAAGGAUGUGGAGUUGCUUAGACAACUAGGAUGUUGGCUUAGAAGCAGCCAUCAUUGAAAGAGUGCGUAAUAGCUCACUAGUCGAGUGACUCUGCGCCGAAAAUGUACCGGGGCUAAACGUAUCACCGAAGCUGUGAAUGAACACCAUCAGGUGUUCGUGGUAGGGGAGCGUUCAAAGGGCUGAGAAGCUGGAUCGUGAGGACCAGUGGAGCGCUUUGAAGUGAGAAUGCCGGUAUGAGUAACGAAAAGAAGGGUGAGAAUCCCUUCCGUCGAAAACCUAAGGUUUCCUGAGGAAGGUUCGUCCGCUCAGGGUUAGUCGGGUCCUAAGCCGAGGCUGAAAAGCGUAGGCGAUGGGAAACAGGUUGAAAUUCCUGUACCACCUCCUCACCAUUUGAGUAAUGGGGGGACGCAGAAAGGUAGGGUAAGCGCGCUGUUGGAUAUGCGCGUCCAAGCAGGUAGGCUGAGAAGCAGGCAAAUCCGCUUCUUGUAAGGCUGAGCUGUGAUGGCGAGGGAAAUCAUAGUACCGAAGUUCCUGAUCCUACACUGCCAAGAAAAGCCUCUAGCGAGGUGAGAGGUGCCCGUACCGCAAACCGACACAGGUAGGUGGGAUGAGAAUUCUAAGACGCUCGGGAGAACUCUCGUUAAGGAACUCGGCAAAAUGACCCCGUAACUUCGGGAGAAGGGGUGCUCUCUAGGGUGUUAAAGCCCCGGAGAGCCGCAGUGAAAAGGCCCAAGCGACUGUUUAUCAAAAACACAGGUCUCUGCGAAGCCGCAAGGCGAAGUAUAGGGGCUGACACCUGCCCGGUGCUGGAAGGUUAAGAGGAGAGGUUAUCCCCUUCGGGGAGAAGCUUCGAAUUGAAGCCCCAGUAAACGGCGGCCGUAACUAUAACGGUCCUAAGGUAGCGAAAUUCCUUGUCGGGUAAGUUCCGACCCGCACGAAAGGUGCAACGACUUGGGCACUGUCUCAACGAGAGACCCGGUGAAAUUAUAUUACCUGUGAAGAUGCAGGUUACCCGCGACAGGACGGAAAGACCCCAUGGAGCUUUACUGUAGCUUGAUAUUGGAUUUUGGUACAGCUUGUACAGGAUAGGUAGGAGCCUUGGAAACCGGACCGCCAGGUUCGGUGGAGGCGCUGGUGGGAUACUACCCUGGCUGUACUGAAAUUCUAACCUCGGACCGUGAUCCGGUUCAGGGACAGUGUCAGGUGGGCAGUUUGACUGGGGCGGUCGCCUCCUAAACAGUAACGGAGGCGCCCAAAGGUUCCCUCAGAAUGGUUGGAAAUCAUUCGAAGAGUGCAAAGGCAAAAGGGAGCUUGACUGCGAGACCUACAAGUCGAGCAGGGACGAAAGUCGGGCUUAGUGAUCCGGCGGUACCGUAUGGAAGGGCCGUCGCUCAACGGAUAAAAGCUACCCUGGGGAUAACAGGCUAAUCUCUCCCAAGAGUUCACAUCGACGGGGAGGUUUGGCACCUCGAUGUCGGCUCGUCGCAUCCUGGGGCUGAAGUAGGUCCCAAGGGUUGGGCUGUUCGCCCAUUAAAGCGGCACGCGAGCUGGGUUCAGAACGUCGUGAGACAGUUCGGUCCCUAUCCGUCGCGGGCGCAGGAAAUUUGAGAGGAGCUGUCCUUAGUACGAGAGGACCGGGAUGGACACACCGCUGGUGUACCAGUUGUUCCGCCAGGAGCAUAGCUGGGUAGCUACGUGUGGACGGGAUAAGUGCUGAAAGCAUCUAAGCAUGAAGCCCCCCUCAAGAUGAGAUUUCCCAUAGCGCCAAGCUAGUAAGACCCCUUGAAGAUGACAAGGUUGAUAGGUCUGAGGUGGACGCGUGGCGACACGUGAAGCUGACAGAUACUAAUCGGUCGAGGGCUUAUCCUA
rnacentral:rRNA from 1 species